UGGGGAAUAUUGGGCAAUGGAGGCAACUCUGACCCAGCAAUGCCGCGUGAGCGAUGAAGGUCAUCGAUUGUAAAGCUCUUUUCCUGGGAACGAAACAAAUGACGGUACCCAGGGAAUAAGCCCCGGCUAACUACGUGCCAGCAGCCGCGGUAAUACGUAGGGGGCGAGCGUUGUCCGGAAUGACUGGGCGUAAAGGGUGCGUAGGUGGUUUAAUAAGUUAGAAGUGUAAUACCCAGGGCUUAACUCGGGUGCUGCUUCUAAAACUGUUAGGCUUGAGUGUAGUAGAGGAAAGCGGAAUUCAAUGUGUAGCGGUGGAAUGCGUAGAUAUAUUGAAGAACAUCAGUGGCGAAGGCGGCUUUCUGGACUAUAACUGACACUGAGGCACGAAAGCGUGGGGAGCAAACAGGAUUAGAUACCCUGGUAGUCCACGCCGUAAACGAUGGAUACUAGAUGCAGGAGGUAUUCACUCCUUCUGUGUCGCAGCUAACGCAAUAAGUAUCCCGCCUGGGGAGUACGAUCGCAAGAUUA
rnacentral:rRNA from 1 species